rnacentral:rRNA from 1 species
AUUGAACGCUGGCGGCAGGCCUAACACAUGCAAGUCGAACGAGUGGCGGACGGGUGAGUAAUGUCUGUGAAACUGCCCGAUGGAGGGGGAUAACUCCUGGAAACGGUAGCUAAUACCGCAUACCUUCGGAUGGGCCCAGAGGGGAUUAGCUAGUAGGUGGGGUAACGGCUCACCUAGGCGACGAUCCCUAGCUGGUCUGAGAGGAUGACCAGCGACACUGGAACUGAGGCACGGUCCAGAGUCCUACGGGAGGCAGCAGUGGGGAAUAUUGCACAAUGGGCGCAAGCCUGAUGCAGCCAUGCCGCGUGUAUGAAGAAGGCGUUAGGGUUGUAAACUGCUUUCGACAGGGACGCGGUACCUGUAUAAGAAGCACCGGCUAACUACGUGCCAGCAGCCGCGGUAAUAC